GACGAACGCUGGCGGCGUGCUUAACACAUGCAAGUCGAACGAUGAAGCCCAGUUUGCUGGGUGGAUUAGUGGCGAACGGGUGAGUAACACGUGGGCAACCUGCCCCAAACUCUGGGAUAACUCCUCGAAAGAGGUGCUAAUACCGGAUACGAACUAGACAGACAUCUGUACUAGUUGGAAAGUUUUUCGGUUUGGGAUGGGCCCGCGGCCUAUCAGCUGGUUGGUGAGGUAACGGCUCACCAAGGCUACGACGGGUAACCGGCCUGAGAGGGCGACCGGUCACACUGGGACUGAGACACGGCCCAGACUCCUACGGGAGUCAGCAGUGGGGAAUAUUGCGCAAGGGGCGAAAGCCUGACGCAGCGACGCCGCGUGAGGGAUGAAGGUCCUCGGAUCGUAAACCUCUUUCAGUAGGGACGAAGCGAAAGUGACGGUACCUAAAGAAGAAGCACCGGCUAACUACGUGCCAGCCGCCGCCGUAA
rnacentral:rRNA from 1 species